rnacentral:lncRNA from 1 species
AGUGGGUCAAUAGUGAAGAGAUGUAGAGAAGAAAUGGCAUCUAUGUGUAACAUGUGGCAAAGAUGAGUGAAGGAAGCUUGACUGCGUAGCAGAUUUGUGGUGCUGUGUAGUGUAAUGGGUAGCCCAUUGUGGGUAAAAGAUAGUUGCGGCUUAGAAAAAUCAGCCAUUAAGGGGCCCAAAGAACGCAACCAGUCCAUUCCCAAGACAACAUCAGCCCCUUCGAUAGGUAAGAGGUAAAA